rnacentral:rRNA from 1 species
UACGAAGGGGGCUAGCGUUGUUCGGAAUUACUGGGCGUAAAGCGCACGUAGGCGGAUAUUUAAGUCAGGGGUGAAAUCCCGGGGCUCAACCCCGGAACUGCCUUUGAUACUGGGUAUCUCGAGUCCGAGAGAGGUGAGUGGAAUUCCGAGUGUGGAGGUGAAAUUCGUAGAUAUUCGGAGGAACACCAGUGGCGAAGGCGGCUCACUGGCUCGGUACUGACGCUGAGGUGCGAAAGCGUGGGGAGCAAACAGG